AGAACAUCGGAGUCUGUUCACUCCUCCUGGCCGGGCGGGAGUGCUCGCAGACCGUCGAGACCGUAAGCAAAGGCGGGGUACCAAAGAGGGCUAUGAGCUAAGCUAAAGCUAACGCCGUAUCGGCUCUCUCUACCCAGCAUUUCCCGGUCUCUGGCGAACAAAAUGGACGAACUCUGCAUCACCAACAUUAAAUGGAUUAUGGACUCAAACAUCAUGAUCUUUACAGAGACAUGGUUAAACAGCGGUUUUCCCGGCAGUGCUACUGAGUUAGCCGGACGUCACACUCACGGUGCAGACAGGACUGCAGGCGGCUCCGGUAAGACCAGAUGCGGAGGUUUGUGCAUUUAUAUAAACAAAUCAUGGUGCACAAACUCUGUUAUCACCGAGAGACACUGGUCACUGCUUAUCUCCCAAGAGAACUCACAUCAGUUGUAGUUACUGCUGUAUACACACCACCGGACGCUAAUGCUAAGCUUCCGAUGAAAGAACUACAUGCAGCCAUUAGCAAACAGCAGACAACACACCCUGGGGCUGCCUUUAUUGUUGCUGGUGACUUUAAUCACUCCAACUUGAAGAAAGUCCUCCCCUGAAUUCAUCAAUAUAUUUCCUGCCACACUAGAGAGAACAAGACACUGGAUCAAGUUUAUUCCAACAUUGCUGAAGCUUACAAAGCUACACCUGUCCCCGACAUAGGACAAUCAGACCACCUCUCUCUUUUUCUCUACCCCAACUAUUCACCACUCAUCCAACGUGUGGAACCAAAAGUGAGGAAUCAUUCCCUAGACAUGGAGAUUCCUACUGUACACAAGCAAUAGAUCACCAGUUCAUCCUGACGGGAACAUGAAGGUCUGAACCACAUUUCAUCACACCAGUUCUUUCAAGCUGGAUCAAAAUGGCUGACGUUGCUUUCCCUGGAGCCAGUUGGAGAGAAUGGAGGACAAAUAAGAGACAGGUUAUCAAUCAUCGGCUACACUCCGGCCAAACUGUCCUUCAGAGAGAAACUCGACCUCCACAGGGUAACCCCGUGUGAAAUGCUCUCAACAGCUCUCAUGAUUUCAAUAAGUAAUUCACAUCAUCCCUUCCCCACUUCAUCCAGUUCACUCUCUCCACUUUAAUAGCUCUCGAAACAGCAAAACAACAACUCUUGACAGUCUCAACUUUUAUUUUCUUUGCAUGUCUUCCUGGAAUAACCCGUGGCCGCAGAAAAAGUGCUGCUGUGACCUCUUCGUUCCUUUGGCCUUUUAUUGGUUUGUUGCAAUCAAGAAAACGAGAGCAUUUUA